CCGGGAAUGUCCAACUUGGGUGUCAGCUGCAGAGGAGCUCCGUUCAGGAGCAUCACGUCGCUUUGAAUAUCGCCGUCUUUGGGACUCAAAUGUGAGAAUAGACACGAAGAUAUGGAGAGCUGUCGUGGGACGCCGACAGGACCUUCGUUCCCAUUAGUCUGUGCCAUAGAAGUGCGCUGUUUCCAGCCAACCAAAAUGUUAAUAUGCCAUCCAGUGGUAUAAUAUUACUAAUUAUGGUUAAAUGGUUCGUAUCAAUGGAAAUGUGAUCAACCCCUUAAAACUAA